rnacentral:rRNA from 1 species
GAUGAACGCUGGCGGCGUGCCUAAUACAUGCAAGUCGAGCGAAUGGAUUAAGAGCUUGCUCUUAUGAAGUUAGCGGCGGACGGGUGAGUAACACGUGGGUAACCUGCCCAUAAGACUGGGAUAACUCCGGGAAACCGGGGCUAAUACCGGAUAACAUUUUGAACCGCAUGGUUCGAAAUUGAAAGGCGGCUUCGGCUGUCACUUAUGGAUGGACCCGCGUCGCAUUAGCUAGUUGGUGAGGUAACGGCUCACCAAGGCAACGAUGCGUAGCCGACCUGAGAGGGGGAUCGGCCACCCUGGGACUGAGACACGGCCCAGACUCCUACGGGAGGCAGCAGUAGGGAAUCUUCCGCAAUGGACGAAGGUCUGACGGAGCAACGCCGCGUGAGUGAUGAAGGCUUUCGGGUCGUAAAACUCUGUUGUUAGGGAAGAACAAGUGCUAGUUGAAUAAGCUGGCGCCUUGACGGUACCUAACCAGAAAGCCACGGCUAACUACGUGCCAGCCGCCGCAGUAA